AUGGACAACGGAGGCAGCGAUGAAGAGAAGAGGAAGGAUUUCUUGGAUGUGCUUUUGGAGUUUCGUGGUGAUGGUCCUGAGGAGCCUUCUACGUUUUCUUCAAGAACCAUCAACGUUAUUGUUUUUGAGAUGUUUACAGCAGGGACGGAUACAACAACUAGCACUUUAGAGUGGGCAAUGGCUGAACUUCUGCAUAAUCCAAAAGAAUUACACAAAGUCCAGGCUGAGAUAAGAAGCACAAUUGGCCCCAACAAGAAGCUCCAAGAGAAGGACAUUGAGAAUCUCCCAUACCUAAAAGCAGUCAUCAAGGAGACACUGAGACUUCACCCACCUCUGCCUUUCCUAGUCCCACACAUGGCCAUGGACUCAUGCAAGAUGCUAGGUUACUACAUCCCUAAAGAAACACAAAUUCUAGUAAAUGUCUGGGCAAUAGGGAGGGACCCAAAGACAUGGGAGGACCCUUUAGCUUUCAAGCCUGACAGGUUCUUGGAGCCAAACAUGGUGGAUUAUAAAGGGCAUCAUUUUGAGUUCAUACCCUUUGGUUCUGGUCGUAGAAUGUGCCCAGCCAUGCCUCUUGCUUCUCGUGUGCUUCCACUGGCUCUGGGGUCGCUCUUGUAUUCCUUUGAUUGGGUUUUGGCUGAUGGGAUCAAGGCAGAGGAUAUGGACAUGUCUGAAAG
rnacentral:misc_RNA from 1 species